rnacentral:rRNA from 1 species
GAUGAACGCUAGCGAUAGGCUUAACACAUGCAAGUCGAGGGGCAGCAUGGUCUUAGCUUGCUAAGACUGAUGGCGACCGGCGCACGGGUGCGUAACGCGUAUGCAACUUGCCUCACAGAGGGGGAUAACCCGUCGAAAGACGGACUAAUACCGCGUACACUUGGGAUUGGGCAUCCUGACCCAAGGAAAUGAAAUUCGCUGUGAGAUAGGCAUGCGUCCCAUUAGCUAGUUGGUGAGGUAACGGCUCACCAAGGCGACGAUGGGUAGGGGAACUGAGAGGUUGAACCCCCACACUGGUACUGAGACACGGACCAGACUCCUACGGGAGGCAGCAGUGAGGAAUAUUGGUCAAUGGGCGAGAGCCUGAACCAGCCAAGUCGCGUGAAGGAUGACUGUCUUAUGGAUUGUAAACUUCUUUUAUACGGGAAUAACAAGAGCCACGUGUGGCUCCCUGCAUGUACCGUAUGAAUAAGCAUCGGCUAACUCCGUG